GGGGGGCGCUUCGUGGCAGCUACUUGUUUAACCCUUGUUUUUUUUGCGUACCUAUUGUUUCCUCGGUGGGCUUGCCUGCCGGCUGGACAAGAUCUAUAACCUUUUUCAAUCUUCAAUCAGCGUCUGAAUCAUACAUAAUAAUUACAACUUUCAACAACGGAUCUCUUGGUUCUGGCAUCGAUGAAGAACGCAGCGAAAUGCGAUAAGUAGUGUGAAUUGCAGAAUUCAGUGAAUCAUCGAAUCUUUGAACGCACAUUGCGCCCCUUGGUAUUCCAUGGGGCAUGCCUGUUCGAGCGUCAUUUGUACCUUCAAGCUUUGCUUGGUGUUGGGCGUUUUGUCUUUUUAUUUUCUAAAUAGACUCGCCUCAAAGUAAUUGGCAGCCAGUGUUUUUGGUAGUAAGCGCAGCACAUUUUGCGUCUUCGUCUUCAAACAGCGGCAUCCACAAAGCCUCUUUCUCACUUUUGACCUCGGAUCAGGUAGGGAUACCCGCUGAACUUAAGCAUAUCAAUAAGCGGAGGAA
rnacentral:rRNA from 1 species